CUUGAGCGAGCCGAGCCAGAGCGGCCGGUCCCGGUCCUGGCCGUAGGUGGCCAGGAGCGCCUGGGCCUC
rnacentral:antisense_RNA from 19 species